rnacentral:rRNA from 1 species
UACGUAGGAGACGAGCGUUGUCCGGAAUUACUGGGCGUAAAGCGCGUGUAGGCGGAUGGGCAAGUCUGCUGUGAAAGCUCCUGGCUUAACCGGGAGUGGUCGGUGGAAACUGCCAAUCUGGAGGACGGUAGAGGUAGGUAGAAUUCCCGGUGUAGUGGUGAAAUGCGUAGAGAUCGGGAGGAACCCCAGAGGCGAAGGCGGCGCCCUGGCUCGCAACUGACGCUCAGACACGACAGCAUGGGGAGCGAACGGG